rnacentral:sRNA from 1 species
AAUGGUACUUCUCCGAGAUAACCGGAGCCGGGCAGCGCGGAGGCGCGAACCGGUGAAGCACCGCUUAGGUUGAAAUACGCCUUUGGGGGCUUCA